AAUUAGCCAAGCAGCUAGCGGACUUUUUCCUCUUCUCAUAUGAAGCCAGGGACAACAGCAACAUUUAACAAAGGUUUCAGUGAUCUAAUGCACCUGGGUCUUUGACUCUCGUCCACCAGCUUGUGCUACACUACGUAAAUGCAGCCUUGAUCUCAUUGUCAUUGCUGUAUCUCCACCUAGUGGCCACACACUGUCAUCACCACUUACUGAGACGGAGAGACGCGUGAGAAAGAUAUCAACACCUCGCUGAGAGUAGUGCACAGUACACGACAGCUACAAAAACAGCAGUGGAGUCAAUUACAAAACUAUCACCUGACCCCCCGGUACAGCAAC